UCGUUUUUUCAGUUUUAAUCGCACUUUUCCACCACCGAUUUUCCCGGGAAACGGACAGCCGAACGUCGGAACGGGCGUUGCUGCACGGUAAACUUUGAGCUGAGAAGGUGAAUUCGGAGGAAUGGCGAUCCACACAUGUGAAGCUCUUCGUGCGUGUCGUCCUCCCUUGUUUACCUCAAUUAAGUUGGCUCCUAAUUGCAUUCGAAACUACAAAUUCCGUGUUCAAAGUUGUCUGAAAAACCCAAAUUGCUCACGAAAGUUAGUUUUGGAAGUGAAGGAGAAGCUUGAAAAGGAGAAUUAUAGUCUGCCAGUUGGAAAAAAUGGAAGAGACGAUGAAGACAUGAUUCUCUGGUAUCUAAAGGACCGGAGAUUUUGUGUUGAAGAAGCUGUCGCUAAGUUGACAAAAGCUAUUAGAUGGCGUCAAGAGUUUGGAGUGUCUGAUUUAUCUGAAGAUGCAGUGAAAAGUAUGGCUGAGACUGGAAAAGCCUAUGUGCAUGACUUUCUUGACGUUAAUGACAGACCAGUGCUCAUCGUGGUGGCAUCCAAGCACCUUCCUGCAGUGCACGAUCAGCAUGAGGAUCACAAACUCUGUGUAUUUUUGAUUGAGAAGGCAUUGAGCAAGCUUCCAGCUGGGAAAGAACAAAUACUAGGAAUCUUUGAUCUCCGGGGCUUUGGAACCAAAAAUACAGAUCUCAGUUCUUUAACUUUCUUGUUUAAUGUAUUUUACUAUUAUUAUCCAAAGCGGUUGGGUGAAGUUCUCUUUGUCGAUGCUCCUUUUGUCUUUAAGCCUAUUUGGCAGCUAGUAAAGCCCUUGUUAAAAUCAUACGCUUCUCUGUUGCAGAAAGCAGGUUCAUGUGACACGCAUUUCACAUCGUCUCAUGUGUUUUGAAGGUGAAAUUUUGCUCCAUGGAAACUGUCCGGAAGGAAUAUUUUACAGAAGCAACCAUACCGGUCAACUUUAGAGACUAAUGCAAUUACCAUAUGCAUCCUUAAGACAAGGGACUUUCAAGUGCUUGACUCGGCGUAGAGUUCUGCAUUUGCAGUUGUGAUAUGCCAGAACUUGCAAAGAUCAAAAAGGGGUUUGAAAAUGGUCCAAGUCUGCUCUCUAGGAAGGACAUUGAUGAGUUAUCCAACUUAAAGAAGAACAGACUGCUCCACAAGUUACAGAAACUGAAACCAAUAGGGGUACCAUUUCUUUUCCCUGUAGUUACAAAUCUGUAUGCUGUACCUACAGGCAAUUUGCAUUAUACCAUAUAAAUGGAAGCCCAUUCUACAGAGUUGGAAGAGAAUGUCUUCAGUAUCAAGUUCUUAACCAUGGAUCGGACACUUUUCUUUCGAAUUCAUUUCAAUUUGUCGAAUUGCUUGACCUUAACUGCAGGGGCGAAGCCAAAGGGUGGCUGGUGGCAGUGCCGGCACUCCUCAGUUUUUAUUUUUUUUUAUUAUUAUAUGUAUAAAACUUAAUAUAUGUAGUAUGAUUAUUUUUAUAAUUAUAUUUUAAUUACUUUUUAUUAAAAA